rnacentral:rRNA from 1 species
AUUGAACGCUGGCGGCAGGCUUAACACAUGCAAGUCGAACGGUAACGGGUUGAAAGCUUGCUUUCAAUGCUGACGAGUGGCGGACGGGUGAGUAAGGCUUGGGGAUCUGGCUUUUGGAGGGGGAUAACCAUUGGAAACGAUGGCUAAUACCGCAUAGUAUCGAGAGAUGAAAGGGUGGGAAACCACUUGCCAAGGGAUGAACCCAAGUGAGAUUAGGUAGUAGGUGGGGUAACGGCUCACCUAGGCGACGAUCCCUAGCUGGUCUGAGAGGAUGACCAGCCACACUGGAACUGAGACACGGUCCAG